AACUUUUGACAACUGAUCACUUGGCUCUGGCAUCGAUGAAGAACGCAGCGAAAUGCGAUAAGUAAUGUGAAUUGCAGAAUUCAGUGAAUCAUCGAAUCUUUGAACGCACAUUGCGCCCGCCAGUAUUCUGGCGGGCAUGCCUGUUCGAGCGUCAUUUCAACCCUCAAGCCCCAGCCGGCUUGGUGUUGGGGACCGGCCCCCGCCGCCCCCCAAAUGCAGUGGCGACCUCGCCGCAGCCUCCCCUGCGUAGUAGCACAACCUCGCACCGGAGCGCGGAGACGGUCACGCCGUAAAACGCCCAACUUCUCAGAGUUGACCUCGGAUCAGGUAGGAAUACCCGCUGAACUUAAGCAUAUCAAUAAGCGGAGGCU
rnacentral:misc_RNA from 1 species